ACAAGAUUUUAUACAUGUAUAAAACAGAUGUUAAUUUCUUUUGCUUGAAAAAAAUAAUAGAACAGUUUCUAUAAAGAUGGAGAUGUUUGGGUGGAAAAUAUAAUUUUAAUUUUGUAAAUGAUCCGGAUAGUUCAACUAGAUAGAGAAGUUAUUUACAAAAUGAAAAAAAAACUAAAUUAAAAUUUUACGUGCGUUUUAUAAAAUUACAUGAAAUAUAUUUUAUUCAUAAAAUUUUAUAGAAAUUUUUAAGUAUCUAUUUCAUAUUUUCAUCCAUUCAUGUGCAAUGCUGCAAGCGAUUCAAUGUGUGUGUAUGUGUGUAUGAAUAAGUAAAAUUAUUUAUUUAUACUUCUAUACCCGUUUUAAAUAAAAUUUUGUAAAACACUGUUUUGUUCAUUAUAAAAACAGAUGAUAAUCAUGAAAGCACGCAAUACCACAAAUAUGACACUGGAAAAGCGUUUCUUGUUAGUAUGGUAAAAAUAUUCAUGCUAUGUGAUAUUAUUUUUAUUUGUAAUUAAAUAUACUAAUGAAUGUUAGUUAACACUGAUAAAGAAAUUCAAACUAUUAACGUUAGCUGUAUAACUUUCUCUUAAAAUUACUAUGUAUUCCUAUAAUUUAUAAGUAAUUAAAUCCAAUGUUCCAAUAUUACAUAACAUGAAUUUUUUAACAUUAGUUAUAUUGAAUUCUUGUAAUUUUAGAUUGGAAAUAUUACAUAAUAAUCUUGUUUAUAAGCUUGUGACUUUUUAUUGUUAGAAAUAUAAAUGUAUAAAAGAUAACAAGAAUAUUAUUUCAAAAUAUAAAUAAAUAAAGGGCGCAUGUGGUAUUUUAUUUGUUGACAGUAUUAUAAUUUACAUGUUAAACAAGCACUAAUAUUUAUGAAUUUUAUUUUAGAAAAAAAUUGUACACAUAUGUGCUAUGUACAAAUCAACAUGUUACAUAUAACUUAUGUAUUUCAUAUAAUAUAUGUGUUUUCUUUCACUCAAUGUAUAUACUUCUUUUUUUACGUGGGAAUUCCUCAUGGACACCCCGCUGCUGUUCUGGGGGAAGCGGUGGGGUGGUGUCGGACUCUUACCGACUAAAACCCCACGGUGGCCUAUCUAACGUUUAACAGGAGUGCCCCCGGAUCCCUUUCGAAUUGCUGCCGGAGCACUCUUGUGUCCCCUUCCAAGCUGAGGGAGCCACCCCUCAGGUCUAAUCUGAGCGCUAAGAGGGACCACACCUUUCAACGCCACCCCCUGGACACUUAAUGUGUACAGUUAUGUUUGCGAAAAACAUCAAUUACAACAUUUAUAAAAAGUGGAAACUUCUAAAUGCAUCACUACAUAAAUUUAUCAUAAUUACUGUAAAAGGAAUUAGUGAAACCAUUUACAUUUUUUUUUAUAAUCCUUUUUUAUUGAAUUAAUAAUAUACAGAAGUAAAUUGGCUUACGGUGUGUAAAUAAGGAAUAGAAAUAUUUCGGAAAUGUAUGCUAUAUACUAUUACCAUUGUUGUAAGAAAACAAAAUACAUUAAUUCUUAAUAAUCCAUAUAAUCAAACUUUUUAUUUGACUCGAAAUACAUUAAUUUGAAAAUUUAUGAAAUAUUUAUGCAUUUAUACAAUAGGCUUGUUAUGCAAUGAAACCAAUGAAUAUCUGAAGUCACAAUACAUAACAAUGAAAAAACAGACAAUUGUUACAGCACUUUUACAUUUUAAUGUUUUACAUAAUACAAUUUAAUUUUGUACAUUAAUAAC